rnacentral:lncRNA from 1 species
AUCUGUUCCACCACUUCCCAUUUCUCUUUAGAACACAAGCCUUUCCAGGGUUAUUAACCAUGCUAUAUAGUCAGCUCUGACUAACAGUUAUCAGUGUGAUGGCUUUCGCACUGUUGAACAAGGAGAUCCUUCCUCCAGAUGUGAUAGAGACAAGAUGACUUGGGGUGUGGAAGCCAAAAAGCUAUGGCAGAACCAUCCUGAUCCCUUGAUGGCAAGCAGUCUAUCCAGAAAGAAAGUUGUGGUAGGAAGACAUUUUCUCUCUUGUUUUUCUAAAAGGAUGCCUGACAGAAACCUGUUGCUGUCCACAACAUACGACAGGAAAGAGCAGGAAGGAGCUCAUGACAGAGACACAAAAAGGAUCCGAGGUCUCAGAGCUGCACUCUAAAGACAGGCUGCAUCAUUACAGAACUUCUACUCCAUACAGCCUUCCCUGACCCGGGAAAGAUAAAAAGGAAACAGCUGACCCUAAUAUGCAAACUGCCAUAAGCACUUCUUGCUUUUUCUAUUAGCAUAAGAUGGAUUGAGAUGGCUUCGAGGCAGAUGUGGUUAAUAUUUCAUUCUCAGGGCUGUGUUGAAGUUGGGAGGACCAGGAAAGUCAACCAACAGAUUAAACAGUGGUGAAAGAAGAUGUUUUUAUUGGCCUCACUGGGAGCAGAAGGAAGAAUGAAUGAUUUGAGGGCAGAAAGGGCUUCAGCAAGUCUUGUAACCCUUUUUUCAACUUUGACUUCUCCAUAAUCUCAUGAAGAACUACUUUGCCUGUUCUUCAAAUGAACUUCUUG